CCACUAUGGAGCUCUUGGGAAGACCCAAAUGUUCUCCUCCAUCUAUAGAGCUUGAGUUCUGAGCUGUUUUGCCAGAUGGAAACUCAGCUGGAGGAGAAGCCCAGG